CAACGCUGCAGCUCGGCCACCGAGAGCCUGAGGAGGGCGCAGAGCACCAUCAGGGAGCUGCAGGUGUGUCACUGUCACCUGUGUGUCACCUGUGUCACCUGUGUGUGUCACUGCAUCACCUGAGUGUGUCACUGUCACCUGAGUGUCACCUGUGUGUCA